rnacentral:rRNA from 1 species
AGAGUUUGAUCCUGGCUCAGGACGAACGCUGGCGGCGUGCCUAAUACAUGCAAGUAGAACGCUGAAGAGAGGAGCUUGCUCUUCUUGGAUGAGUUGCGAACGGGUGAGUAACGCGUAGGUAACCUGCCUUGUAGCGGGGGAUAACUAUUGGAAACGAUAGCUAAUACCGCAUAACAAUGGAUGACACAUGUCAUUUAUUUGAAAGGGGCAAUUGCUCCACUACAAGAUGGACCUGCGUUGUAUUAGCUAGUAGGUGAGGUAAUGGCUCACCUAGGCGACGAUACAUAGCCGACCUGAGAGGGUGAUCGGCCACACUGGGACUGAGACACGGCCCAGACUCCUACGGGAGGCAGCAGUAGGGAAUCUUCGGCAAUGGGGGCAACCCUGACCGAGCAACGCCGCGUGAGUGAAGAAGGUUUUCGGAUCGUAAAGCUCUGUUGUAAGUCAAGAACGGGUGUGAGAGUGGAAAGUUCACACUGUGACGGUAGCUUACCAGAAAGGGACGGCUAACUACGUGCCAGCAGCCGCGGUAAUGCGUAGGUCCCGAGCGUUGUCCGGAUUUAUUGGGCGUAAAGCGAGCGCAGGCGGUUUGAUAAGUCUGAAGUUAAAGGCUGUGGCUCAACCAUAGUUCGCUUUGGAAACUGUCAAACUUGAGUGCAGAAGGGGAGAGUGGAAUUCCAUGUGUAGCGGUGAAAUGCGUAGAUAUAUGGAGGAACACCGGUGGCGAAGGCGGCUCUCUGGUCCGUAACUGACGCUGAGGCUCGAAAGCGUGGGGAGCGGACAGGAUUAGAUACCCUGGUAGUCCACGCCGUAAACGAUGAGUGCUAGGUGUUGGAUCCUUUCCGGGAUUCAGUGCCGCAGCUAACGCAUUAAGCACUCCGCCUGGGGAGUACGACCGCAAGGUUGAAACUCAAAGGAAUUGACGGGGGCCCGCACAAGCGGUGGAGCAUGUGGUUUAAUUCGAAGCAACGCGAAGAACCUUACCAGGUCUUGACAUCCCGAUGCUAUUUCUAGAGAUAGAAAGUUACUUCGGUACAUCGGUGACAGGUGGUGCAUGGUUGUCGUCAGCUCGUGUCGUGAGAUGUUGGGUUAAGUCCCGCAACGAGCGCAACCCCUAUUGUUAGUUGCCAUCAUUCAGUUGGGCACUCUAGCGAGACUGCCGGUAAUAAACCGGAGGAAGGUGGGGAUGACGUCAAAUCAUCAUGCCCCUUAUGACCUGGGCUACACACGUGCUACAAUGGUUGGUACAACGAGUUGCGAGUCGGUGACGGCGAGCUAAUCUCUUAAAGCCAAUCUCAGUUCGGAUUGUAGGCUGCAACUCGCCUACAUGAAGUCGGAAUCGCUAGUAAUCGCGGAUCAGCACGCCGCGGUGAAUACGUUCCCGGGCCUUGUACACACCGCCCGUCACACCACGAGAGUUUGUAACACCCGAAGUCGGUGAGGUAACCUUUUGGAGCCAGCCGCCUAAGGUGGGACAGAUGAUUGGGGUGAAGUCGUAACAAGGUA